rnacentral:lncRNA from 1 species
GAAACAACAACUUUAGGAUUUGCUCCAAACAUUUUUUUUAUUGUUUUUAUCAUUUGGAAAACCGAGUCCCAACAAUAAAAUCUUAAUCUAUGAGGGCAUGACAAAGGAUGGGGCAAGGAGCUAGACGAAUAUUGCGGGCGUCCCGCUCGCAGAUUUGCGGUAGUCUUCGAACGGGCGAAGGGUCCAGCACCUCAGCAAGUUGUCGAAAAGCAAAAGCGAUGUCACUCUCUACCAUGAGCAAUCCCUUGAGGACUUCUGAAAGUUUUUCAUUAUUGCAGUGGUAAAAAACCCAGCUGGAUUGUCCGAAUUUGACCAGUGCUCGAUGCUUUGGCCGUUCGCAGUCUGCCGCAUUCCUGCUAGGCGUCCCACCCGCCCAGGAUUCCUCAACCCAGGGCCAUUGGGAGAGGAUCCGUCGCUAACAGAAUAAGUAUAUACAGACGUUCUUACGACUCGGUUUUGGGAUCUAGGAAGCCCAGGAUAAAUGGCAGAAUGCUGCGGACUCUGAGCUUUGUCAAUCAUAUUCAUUUUGAUAACAUAAAGAUACCACUAAAUUCUGUUUUUAUUUUUCUUCGUUUUCAUGUUUACCUAGAUUAUUUUAAUAUAUAUUUACAUUG